UACGGAGGAUCCAAGCGUUAUCCGGAUUUAUUGGGUUUAAAGGGUGCGUAGGCGGCCUGUUAAGUCAGGGGUGAAAGACGGUAGCUCAACUAUCGCAGUGCCCUUGAUACUGAUGGGCUUGAAUAGACUAGAGGUAGGCGGAAUGUGACAAGUAGCGGUGAAAUGCUUAGAUAUGACACAGAACACCAAUUGCGAAGGCAGCUCACAAAAACUGUAAACUGACACUGAGGCACGAAAAGCGUGGGGGAGUCAAAACAGGAAUUAAG
rnacentral:rRNA from 1 species